rnacentral:rRNA from 1 species
UAGCUUGCUAGAUGAGCGGCGAACGGGUGAGUAACGCGUAGGAAUCUACCUAGUAGUGGGGGACAACGUCUCGAAAGGGACGCUAAUACCGCAUACGCCCUAAGGGGGAAAGGGGGGGAUCUUCGGACCUCUCGCUAUCAGAUGAGCCUGCGUUGGAUUAGCUAGUUGGCGGGGUAACGGCCCACCAAGGCGACGAUGACUAGGGGAUCUGAGAGGAUGACCCCCCACACUGGUACUGAGACACGGACCAGACUCCUACGGGAGGCAGCAGUAAGGAAUAUUGGUCAAUGGAGGCAACUCUGAACCAGCCAUGCCGCGUGCAGGAAGACAGCCCUCUGGGUCGUAAACUGCUUUUAUUCGGGAAUAAACCACAUUACGUGUAAUGUGCUGAAUGUACCGAAGGAAUAAGGAUCGGCUAACUCCGUGCCAGCAGCCGCGGUAAUACGGAGGAUCCAAGCGUUAUCCGGAUUUAUUGGGUUUAAAGGGUGCGUAGGCGGCUUAUUAAGUCAGGGGUGAAAGACGGUGGCUCAACCAUCGCAGUGCCUUUGAUACUGAUGAGCUUGAAUACACUAGAGGUAGGCGGAAUGUGACAAGUAGCGGUGAAAUGCAUAGAUAUGUCACAGAACACCGAUUGCGAAGGCAGCUUACUAUGGUGUGAUUGACGCUGAGGCACGAAAGCGUGGGGAUCAAACAGGAUUAGAUACCCUGGAAGUCCACGCCCUAAACGAUGAAUACUCGCUGUUAGCGAUAUACAGUUAGCGGCUAAGCGAAAGCGUUAAGUAUUCCACCUGGGGAGUACGCCCGCAAGGGUGAAACUCAAAGGAAUUGACGGGGGCCCGCACAAGCGGAGGAGCAUGUGGUUUAAUUCGAUGAUACGCGAGGAACCUUACCCGGGCUUAAAAGUUAGUGAAUCAUUUAGAGAUAGAUGAGUCCGCAAGGACACGAAACUAGGUGCUGCAUGGCUGUCGUCAGCUCGUGCCGUGAGGUGUUGGGUUAAGUCCCGCAACGAGCGCGACCCCUAUGUUUAGUUGCCAGCACGUUAUGGUGGGGACUCUAAACAGACUGCCUGUGCAAACAGAGAGGAAGGAGGGGACGACGUCAAGUCAUCAUGGCCCUUACGUCCGGGGCUACACACGUGCUACAAUGGAUGGUACAGAGGGCAGCAAGCUGGCAACAGCAAGCGAAUCUCAAAAAGCCAUUCACAGUUCGGAUAGAGGUCUGCAACUCGACCUCUUGAAGUUGGAUUCGCUAGUAAUCGCGUAUCAGCAAUGACGCGGUGAUUACGUUCCCGGGCCUUGUACACACCGCCCGUCAAGCCAUGGAAGUUGGGGGUACCUAAAGUAUGUAACCGUAAGGAGCGUCCUAGGGUAAAACCGAUAACUGGGGCUAAGUCGUAACAAGGUA